UAAAAACCACUUGAAACUAUUUAUUAAUUAAGUUUUUCCCUGUUUCCUGCAACAUCAGCCAUCGAAAAUCGUCGGCACCCCAAUGCAGGAAUUUAGGAAUUCAUCUAAUUUCUUGUUUAAUAUGAAAGGAAUUUGCAAAGUAAGAGGUGGAGCCGGAAGAUUUAUAGUUAAUUUUUAUAAGAUUAAAUAUACGUUAUUAGGAUGUUUUCUUUAGCCUUUU